GAUGAACGCUGGCGGCGUGCCUAAUACAUGCAAGUCGAGCGAACAGACGAGGAGCUUGCUCCUCUGACGUUAGCGGCGGACGGGUGAGUAACACGUGGAUAACCUACCUAUAAGACUGGGAUAACUUCGGGAAACCGGAGCUAAUACCGGAUAAUAUAUUGAACCGCAUGGUUCAAUAGUGAAAGACGGUUUUGCUGUCACUUAUAGAUGGAUCCGCGCCGCAUUAGCUAGUUGGUAAGGUAACGGCUUACCAAGGCAACGAUGCGUAGCCGACCUGAGAGGGUGAUCGGCCACACUGGAACUGAGACACGGUCCAGACUCCUACGGGAGGCAGCAGUAGGGAAUCUUCCGCAAUGGGCGAGAGCCUGACGGAGCAACGCCGCGUGAGUGAUGAAGGUCUUCGGAUCGUAAAACUCUGUUAUUAGCGAAGAACAAAUGUGUAAGUAACUAUGCACGUCUUGACGGUACCUAAUCAGAAAGCCACGGCUAACUACGUG
rnacentral:rRNA from 1 species